rnacentral:rRNA from 1 species
UGGCGGACGGGGUGAGUAAUGUCUGGGAAACUGCCUGAUGGAGGGGGGAUAACUACUGGAAACGGUAGCUAAUACCGCAUAACGUCGCAAGACCAAAGAGGGGGACCUUCGGGCCUCUUGCCAUCAGAUGUGCCCAGAUGGGAUUAGCUAGUAGGUGGGGUAACGGCUCACCUAGGCGACGAUCCCUAGCUGGUCUGAGAGGAUGACCAGCCACACUGGAACUGAGACACGGUCCAGACUCCUACGGGGGGCAGCAUG